UGGGGAAUAUUGCACAAUGGGCGCAAGCCUGAUGCAGCCAUGCCGCGUGUGUGAAGAAGGCCCUCGGGUUGUAAAGCACUUUCAGCGAGGAGGAAGGUGGUGAGCUUAAUACGCUCAUCAAUUGACGCUACUCGCAGAAGAAGCACCGGCUAACUCCGUGCCAGCAGCCGCGGUAAUACGGAGGGUGCAAGCGUUAAUCGGAAUUACUGGGCGUAAAGCGCACGCAGGCGGUUUGUUAAGUCAGAUGUGAAAAUCCCCGGGCUCAACCUGGGAACUGCAUUUGAAACUGGCAAGCUAGAGUCUCGUAGAGGGGGGUAGAAUUUCCAGGUGUAGCGGUGAAAUGCGUAGAGAUCUGGAGGAAUACCGGUGGCGAAGGCGGCCCCCUGGACGAAGACUGACGCUCAGGUGCGAAAGCGUGGGGCAGCAAACAGGAUUAGAUACCCUGGUAGUCCACGCUGUAAACGAUGUCGAUUUGGAGGUUGUGCCCUUGAGGCGUGGCUUCCGGAGCUAACGCGUUAAAUCGACCGCCUGGGGAGUACGGCCGCAAGGUUAAAACUCAAAUGAAUUGACGGGUCUAGCUG
rnacentral:rRNA from 1 species